CCUGUCUCCUCCCACCACCCUCAAAAGGGGUCUGUGUUGUAGCAACACUGAUUCCAGCAGAAGAGACUGGAUGUGGCUGCUUCCAAAGCCAGCCGGCACUACUGCAUGAACAGGCUCCUUAAUUCAGGGUCUGAAUGCGUGCCAUGUCUGAAUCACAGGUGGGGUGGCAGGUCCUCACUAUGACUUCACCAGAAGACUGCAGAUUUUCUGGCAAUUCCUGCACCUCGUCCUCUCCAAAACCAGUGUCUGGGCU